GACGAACACUGGCGGCGUGCCUAAUACAUGCAAGUCGAACGCUUUUUCUUUCACCGGAGCUUGCUCCACCGAAAGAAAAAGAGUGGCGAACGGGUGAGUAACACGUGGGUAACCUGCUCAUCAGAAGGGGAUAACACUUGGAAACAGGUGCUAAUACCGUAUAACACUAUUUUCCGCAUGGAAGAAAGUUGAAAGGCGCUUUUGCGUCACUGAUGGAUGGACCCGGGGUGCAUUAGCUAGUUGGUGAGGUAACGGCUCACCAAGGCAACGAUGCAUAGCCGACCUGAGAGGGUGAUCGGCCACACUGGGACUGAGACACGGCCCAGACUCCUACGGGAGGCAGCAGUAGGGAAUCUUCGGCAAUGGACGAAAGUCUGACCGAGCAACGCCGCGUGAGUGAAGAAGGUUUUCGGAUCGUAAAACUCUGUUGUUAGAGAAGAACAAGGAUGAGAGUAAAACGUUCAUCCCUUGACGGUAUCUAACCAGAAAGCCACGGCUAACUACGUGCCAGCAGCCGCGGUAA
rnacentral:rRNA from 1 species